rnacentral:rRNA from 1 species
GAUGAACGCUGGCGGCGUGCCUAAUACAUGCAAGUCGAGCGAACAGAUGAGGAGCUUGCUCCUCUGACGUUAGCGGCGGACGGGUGAGUAACACGUGGAUAACCUACCUAUAAGACUGGGAUAACUUCGGGAAUCCGGAGCUAAUACCGGAUAAUAUAUUGAACCGCAUGGUUCAAUAGUGAAAGACGGUUUUGCUGUCACUUAUAGAUGGAUCCGCGCCGCAUUAGCUAGUUGGUAAGGUAACGGCUUACCAAGACAACGAUGCGUAGCCGACCUGAGAGGGUGAUCGGCCACACUGGAACUGAGACACGGUCCAGAAUCCUACGGGAGGCAGCAGUAGGGAAUCUUCCGCAAUGGGCGAAAGCCUGACGGAGAAACGCCGCGUGAGUGAUGAAGGUCUUCGGAUCGUAAAACUCUGUUAUUAGGGAAGAACAAAUGUGUAAGUAACUAUGCACGUCUUGACGGUAACUAAUCAGAAAGCCCCGGCUAACUACGUG